rnacentral:lncRNA from 1 species
AACUAACAUAUUUUGGCUUCUAAAAUUAUAAUAAUAAAAACAAGUGUUUUCUUUUAAGCAAGUUACUCAACCGACAUUCAUUAUACACAAGUUGGUUUACAUCUCAUAAAUUAGAAACUUCACAAAAUUAGAGUUGUUCUUUUAAAAGUUAAUUAGUAAUAAAACCAUUUGUACUAGAAAUAAACUGUGGAUUUGUAGAAUUUCAAUUGCAUGAUCAAUUACAAAGAAUGCG